UACGUAGGGUGCAAGCGUUGUCCGGAAUUAUUGGGCGUAAAGCGCGUGUAGGCGGCCAGAUAAGUCCGCUGUGAAAUCUCGAGGCUCAACUUCGAGCUGUCGGUGGAAACUGUCUGGCUAGAGUCCGGAAGAGGAGAAUGGAAUUCCUGGUGUAGCGGUGAAAUGCGCAGAUAUCAGGAAGAACACCCGUGGCGAAGGCGGUUCUCUGGGACGGUACUGACGCUGAGACGCGAAAGCGUGGGGAGCGAACAGG
rnacentral:rRNA from 1 species